rnacentral:lncRNA from 1 species
AAGCACUGAAUCAAGUCCUUCUUCGAUGAUUCUUUGACCUCACCUUCAGAUGCCCAUAGAUUCCUUCCAAUAGGAUAAAUCUGGACGAAACCACUUUGCAUGUCAAUACUUCAUUAAUGUUUACUUUAAAAAACUAAACAGAGUAAGACAGAGAAAACAAAUUUUGAUCAGUACUAAUAACUUACCUUCUUGUCGAUGUAGUCAGCCCAAAACCUGGCAUGUGCACGUCGAUAAGGACCAGAAGGCAACAAUGAAGGUUUAUGGCUCCAAGCUUCAUCAAUAUAUUGAACUAUGACCAUUGACUCACAGAUGGGUUUCCCAUUAUGGAUUAAGACAGGGAUUUGCUGAUGAACUGGGUUCAUCUUGAGAAGAGUAGAGCUCUUGUUGCUCAAGUCCUCUACCUGAGAUUUAUAUUCUAUUCCCUUCUCUUCCAAAGCUAUCCUCACCCUUGCUGCAAAAGGACUAGCCUUCAAAUCCAGUAGAACUACUUCAUUAGCCAUUUGUUGCACAGGAAAAAAGAAAGAUUUUUCUCAGUAAUUUGUUUCCUUUUUCAAUUUGCAAUGUGGAACUGAGGCGAAAACAAGAAUUUAUAGCAGAACAUGAGACCUUUGUGGAGUGUUCAGUCUCCCUUGAAUUUCUAGGUGCUUCGCUUUUGUUGUCAUUGCUUGCAUCAGAAUGGUCACCGUUAUUGUUGACAGGUUGGGAUUUUCCUGGGAAACCUCCUCGCAACUAUGAGAGUAAUGUUUUUUUAUAUAUAUAAAAAUAAAAUGCCACUUAAAUAUUUUAAAAUUAGCUAACCUCAAUCAUAUUUAUUUCAUAUAUAGUAAUUAAAUAAUAUUUAGUUAUAUAGUUAAUAAUCUUGAAUGUUAUAAAUUUAAUAAUUAUAAAUAUUCUACAUUAACAAUCAAUGGAGGAAUGGCAACUUAUGUGGCACACGUGCGCACAUCAGCAAGAAUAUCUUACUCGGGAGACCCGCAUGAAAACAAAUUUGAUCCCCUGCGCGCCGAUAUAGUCUAAAUUCAUCUGCUUCUUAAUAAUUUCUAUUGGCCUGUAUAAAGUGUGGCCGCCAUGCAUGUUGGGAGAGAAGAGAAUUGUUUUCUUAAUUAUUUCUGCCGGUAUCAAAAAUUGAUAUUUAUAAUAAAAAAUAAUAUCUUUCCAUACUAAUAUACUUGUAUAAUUAGAAAGACACCCUUCAAAUUAAUUAAUUAAUUAAUCUUUUAAAAAUAUCUAUUUCACAUAAUAUCAUAGUGCUAUCAUAUAUAUAUAUAUAUAUAUAUAUAUAUAUAUAUAUAUAAUCUAAAAAGUAAGAGAUUUUAUUAUAUUUUAUUGAUUUAAUGUAAAAUAUAACAAAAUAUCUUACUUUUUCAAAUAAAGCUAAAUAUCUUACUUUCCUAGUGGCUGCAGGAAAUGCCAUCCAAGUAGAAUCCUAAUUUGAGAAGAACUGAAAAUUUAAAGGACCAACCUGUACUUAUCCCACAAAUAUGAAACGCGGCAAGGUAGGACUCCACCAACACCUAUCAGACCCAAUUAGGAAAAGAGAAAAAAGUUUCGAAAAAGAAAAAGAAAAGCAAAAUAAAAUAAAAUAAAAGGGGUGAAGAAAAUGACGGGAAAAAAAAGACAGCAAAAAAGAAGAGAGAAAGCUUCAGUGCAAAAAUUGCUCCUUCGAAAGACCCUUCAACACUUGUAAAGAGGCCAAUUGUAGGCAUCAGUGAAUGUUAAUUAUAUUCAAACCAAUGUUGUGUGUGAUUAUUGUGAAUGAAAUCACUCAAAUUUCAAUUGUCAAAUAGGAAAGCCUUUUGCUAAACCAAAUUUCAAGGAAAUUAAUUAUAUGUCCAAUUUCUAAUGUCGAAACAAUCGUUAUUUAAAUAUAUUUAGGCAGUAUUUGUUUUAGCGGUUCAAUAGCUCUUUAAAUUUUUUUUGGAUUUUUUGCUUUAAAUUAGUUUUUUGAUAUUUUUGAAUUGUUUUGAUAUGUCUCUAUCAAAAAUAUUUUUUUUUGAAAAAAAUAUUAUUUUGAUGCAUUUCCAAGUAAAAAACACUUUGAAAAGCGACAUUUACCAUAAUCUCAAACACGCUAUUAAUCUCGAUUGAAGAAAUCACCCUAAUAUUUCAUAGAGCAACCACUACAAGAUUUCACAGUUUUAUCGACGGACACAUUCCGUUGGUAUGAGAUUCAGAGUUCGUCGGUAAUUUUUUUACCAACUAAAUCACCGACGGAAAACGUCCGUCGGCAUAACGUCCGUCGGCAAUACCGCAUUCCGUCGCUAAGGCUGUCGGUAAAAAAAAUAUUACCGAUGGUUUUACAGAUGGAAAUUGUGCGCCAAAAAAAACUUCCUGUUGGAACAUUACUGAGGGAUUUAUUCCAUCGGUGAUAGUGGCAUAUAUAGUAAAUAUUUUUUAGCUAUCGGUGAAAGGCCGACAGAUGUUCUCCGUUGGUAAAUUCAUCGGUGAGUGUGCAUUUCCACCAAGCUUCUGUGAAUUGCCGACGGAUUAUAUCCGUCUGUAAAUUCAUUGGUGAUACAUUCCGUCGGUAAAUCCCUCGGUGGGUAUUUUUAAUUUUUUUUAAAAAUGAUUUAGAAUAAAUAAUAUAAAUUAAUAUAAAUUAAUAGUAAAAAAAACCAAUUGUGCAAAUAAAUUUUUAUUAAACAUUAAGAACAAAAAGUUAUGCAAAUAAAAUUUUAUUAAACAUUAAGAACAAAAAAAUAAAGUUAAAUAAUAUUCAUUACAAAUUGAAUGUGUUUCAAAAAAAAAAUUAGCACAAUGGCGGAGUUGGAGGAGGAGGAGGAGGCUGGUUGUUAUACGGCCAAAAAAGGGGCGGACAUGUAUCACCACUCUGUGAAGUCAUGUUCAUGACCAUUUGACAGAGUUAUUCAUAAUUCACUGAGAGUUGCUCGUAUUUCUCGGUGAGAUUAGUUGUGUGUUGUUUCAAGGCCAUGAUAUCCUCAUAUUGGGUGCUCGAUACUGAUUUGGAGCUCCUAACGGUUGAGACAUUAUGGGCUGCCCGCAAGUUCUCGACCGUAGUGUUGGAGAGCCCGUACACCUGAUUUUUAUCGGGUCCACCGGAUGAUCCAACCUCCAUCCAUAAAUCCGGAUCGAAAUCCGGAUGGGUCGAAGGAUCGUCCCCAUAUCUCUCCCUCAACCGGCUAUUAUAGGUCUCAUGAAAAUGAAAAAAGAAAUCAUCAUCAUCAUAUUCAAUUCAAUAAAAAUAAUAACUUAUGAAAUAAAAUGGUUGAACGAACAUACCACAAAGUGUUGAGCGUGGUUGUAAAUGAACUGUUGCACCUCCUUUUGGCGGUCUUGACUCUGCACGUGCAUCUCAACAAACAGCUCCAUUGGGCUCGGCUCACGUCCAAGAGAUGUAGCCUGUAAUGAAAAAAAUUAAUUAAGUAACAACAAAUUAUUUAACGAUAUAUUUCAUUUAAAUUAAUCUUACCAUUCGUUUCGCAUAUGCAGCAAACGAAACAGAGCCACCGAUGUGCGUUGUCACCGAGCCAUGAAUUGGCCGGUUCUGGUUGAUAGCAUCAGACUGUGAGCGUCGUGUGAACCGCUUAGACGUCAUGUGCUCAAGAUAUUGCGGCCAUAUAUCUGUCGGGAUGUAUAGCGGUUUGAAAUCCCUCCAAACCGCCACGUCAUUCCAGCCUUAGAGACCGUUAUCUCUCACUUUUUUUUUGUCUUUUUUUUUCUUCAUACCAAAAAUCACGCAACCUACUUCCAUAGCAAGAAAUUAGAUUUUGAAAUAUAAAUUUUUUUCUAAAAAAAUAUUGUAUUGUUUUUUAUGUUACCUAGUUGCCGCGUGAUUUUCCCACACCUUCCACACAACAGUGUCAUGCGCAGUGUUCCAGUCGAAUUUGUCCUGUGUAUAAAUAAUUAAUUUUAAAUAAAAAAAUAAUUUAUUUAUAAUUAUAUUAAUAAUUUAUUAGAAAUAAGCUGCAAAUUAGAAAUUAACAUCAACCUCAAAUCUGUCAAACCAUGCAUCGAUUUGAGGUAUCCAUUCAGGAUGUCUGGAUACCUCACUCCACUGAAAUAAUGGAAUCUCCAUCAAUGAUUUGAACGCUGAUAAUAUUAUUCGGGCGGCCUCAAUGUUUGUGAACCUGAAAAUAAAUUAAAUUAAUGAAAUAUUGAUUAGUUGUUCAUAAAUUAUAUUAUAAUUAAAAAAAACUAAAACCGAAACAAACUUACAUUGAAAGGUCAUCCUUCCACUGUGCCUCAUACUUGCGGGUGAAUUGAUUCUACUGCGAAGUCACCGCCUCUGUGCUGUGAAAUCGCGUUGGAAGAGGCAGCAUCGGGUGACGGCGCAGGUGCCUCUUCUUGAUAGGCACCUAAAGAUAUGUCAUCCUCGUUGCUAGAAGAACUAGUUGCGACCAUAUGUGAGUGACAAGCUGUGGAUUUCGUUCUACGCAUCUACACAAUUUUAUACGAAUAAUUAUAUAAUUAAAUUCGAAUGUUAAAAAAAUUCGGUAGCACCUCCCCUAUACUGGAGACUACCCAAACUUUUCAAACCUGCAAAUAUUGACAAUAGCCACAACCAAUUGACCUCAUCUAUACUAAUCUUGUAUAUAACAUAACAUCUAUACAAAUAACAUCUAUACUAAUUAUAAGGUAAAUUCAACAAUAACAAUUAAAAUUCUACAAAUUAUUCAAUUAUUAUGGAAAUACAAACAAUAAAAUAUAUUCAAUAAAUUAAAACAAAACUCUAGACUAACAAUUAAAAUUAAUGGAAAUAAUUAAACACAAAUCAUGCAAUAAUAGAGUAAAAUUGAGAGAAAAUAAUUAAAUUUAUUCCAACAUAUUCAAUUACUAAUUACAAGGUAAAUUCAACAAUAACAAUUAAAAUUCAAUAAAUUAUUCAAUUAUUAUGGCAAUACAAACAAUAAAAUAUAUUCAAUAAAUUAAAAAAAAACUCUAGACUAACAAUUAAAAUUAAUGGAAAUAAUUAAACACAAAUCAUGCAAUAAUAGAGUAAAAUUGAGAGAAAAUAAUUAAAUUUAUUCCAACAUAUUCAAUUACUAAUUACAAGGUAAAUUCAACAAUAACAAUUACAAUUCAACAAAUUAUUCAAUUAUUAUGGCAAUACAAACAAUAAAAUAUAUUCAAUAAAUUAAAAAAAAAACUAUAGACUUUAGGAAUGAAAUAUGCUUACUUUAAUAAUGUGUUUAUUUCAAGACUUUAUCUACAUUAUAAAAAUACACCAAAACAAAAAACAUAACAAAAAUAACAAUAGCUAAAACAAAGUAAAAAUAAUUCUUGAAUUAAAAUGAAGUAGAGGAAACACAUACAUUUUAAUUUGCUGAAGAUUCAAGUAGAGAUUACAAGCAAAACAAACAAAAGUCUUGAAGGAAAUGAGAGGGAAAAAAUCAAAAAUGAAAGGGGAAUAACAGAGCAGAUGAAAAAAUGAACUGAAGGGGCGGUCGCUGGGAUUUAUAGCGCAGUUUUACUGACGGAAUCACCGACGAACAUUAAAAAAAAUAUUAUUUUAAAUUAUUCCGUCGGUGAUGUUAGGAAAAUCCGUCGGUAACUUUUGAAUUUCACACCAUAAUUUUUAAUUACCCUCCACAUUUUUCACAGUCCGUCAGUCAUUUCGUCGGCAAAUACAUGCGAUCAGAGAUGCAUUUAAUGCCCCGCCCUUGGAAUUCGCACCAUCCAUCGGUGAUGGUUGUGGCAUUUCCAGUGACGCUACUGUGAAAUGCCAACGGAUUGGAAUCCGUCCGCAAAGUCGUCGGUGAUGAAAUGGCUACUGUGAAAUGGCGACGGACUGGAAUCCAUUUGCAAUGUCAUCGGUGAUGGUUGUGGCAUUUCCAAUGAUGCUACUGUGAAAUGCCGACGAACUAGAAUCCGUCCGCAAAGUCGUCAGUGAUGGUUGUGGCAUUUCCAGUGACAGUACUGUGAAAUGCCGAUGGAAUAGAAUCCGUCAGUAUAGAUGUCGGUGAUAGUGCAGUGUGCAAGAAAGAUGAUGUUUGUAUUGCCUAUUUAUCUUCCUGCAAACACUUAAAUGAUAAACUGUCCAUCGUACAAAACAAUAACAACAGUGCUUAAACAAUACAAACUUAUAAAAUAAAUAUUUCGUGUUACAAAAUAUAUCAUCCAUAAUAUAUAUUACAUGAAAAAAAAUGUUUUACACAUGGCUUCAUUCUGAUAGUUAGUCAGAAUUUUCUUCUUCUUCACCGUCAAUUGAAUAGUCAUCACCUUCAUCGCAAUCUUCAAUAUGGAUAUCAUCAUCAUCAUCAUCUUCAUCGACAUUUGCUUGUCUGGUAGAGCUCAAAACAACAUCCAACUCCUCUGCGUCAACAUCAACAAGAGUAUCAUCGAAAACAUGAAAAUUUGAAUUUUCUUCCAAGUCAAUCGAAGGAGCAACUCGAUAUGGUUCAACCAACUCAUUAACUUGAAAGACUUCAUCUCGCACACUUGUAUUUUCAUUCUCAUCUUGAACAACCUCGACACGACCCUUGGGUUUUGUUUUUAAAACGGAUAGCCAAUCAACUCUUAAUCGAUCCUUUCUAAAGGAAGAGGUGUAUGUGUAAUAAACUUGUUGACAUUGCUUUGCUAAAACAAAGACAUCGUUAAGUUGCGAGGUCUAGCUUUUGAGUUGAUUUCGACCAGACCAUAGUGCGGAUCAACUCUGAUUCCUCUGUCAGACGUGUCAUACCAAUAACAUUUGAAUAAAAACACUAUAUUCUGCUCGCUAUAAUAUGCAGUUCGACGACCUUUUCUAAUCUACCAUAGUAGUCAACUUCUAACUCACUACUAGUCGAUCCCUUAACACAAACACCGCUGUUGUAUGUCUUUCUUCCAUGCCCGUAUUUUUCAGUAUGGAACACAUAUCCAUUGAUAAAAUACUCGUUGUAGCACUUAACUUUUUUUUAGGGCCCAAAAGAUACUUCGCUUUACCCAAUUAUGGGUGAAACCAAAACCAAGAAACUUAUGCUUACCUGAUUGAAGACCAAACACAACGUCACCGUACUCUGAUACAACAUCAUGCAAUUCUUCACCAGAAAGACGCGGGGAUGCAACAUCCUUUUCAACUAUGCCAACAAAAAAAUCUUUUAUGUUCUUUCUGUACCUGUGAUUCGGUGGCAAGAAACGAUGGUGAAAGUCAAAAAAAGAAGUUGUACCUCAGUUUGUUAGCAUGAAUGCCUUGUUGUUUUCCAUGCAGUAUGAACAUGCUAGUUUUCCAUGCGUGAUCCAACCAGAAAGCAUUCUAUAAGCUGGAAAAUCAUUGAUAGUCCACAUCAAAGUCGCCCUCAUAACAAAAUUAUGUUUCCUCGAUAUAUCAUAAGUCAAAGCUCUGGAGGACCACAACUGUGCAAACUCAUUAAUCAACGGUCGAAGACAAACAUCUAUAUUCCGGCCCGGGUAUGACAGUAGACAAAAACAUGAACUAAGGCCUCAUACACAUUCCCGGUGGCAAGUUAUAAACCGUGAGUAUAAUCGACCAACAAGAAUAAGAAGCAGCAAAUUACCUGAAUGGGUUGAAUCCGUCUGUACAUAACCCAAGACGUAUGUUCCUUGAUUCAGCUGAAAAGUGAGGAUGCACACUGUUAAAGUGUUUCCUCGCUUCGCCGUCAGAAGGAUGCACCAUCACUCCAUCAACCACAUUAUAUGAUUGGUGUCAUGUCAUGUGCUCAGCAAUCCUUGGUGACAUGAAUAACCUCUACAGUCUAGGUGUGAUUGGGAAGUAUCUAAGUUUUUUAUAUACCACUAGAGUUUUUCCCCUGCCAGUUCUGGGUUUGUAGCGGGAAUGCCCACAUGUCAUGCACUCGGUCAGCUCAGCAUUUUCAAGGUAGUAUAACAUGCAGAAAUUAGGACACAUGUCAAUUUUCUGGUAUCCUAAACCGAGAGGUUUCAUCAUGGACUUCGCAGUAUAGAAGUUCUCUUUCAGCAUGUUCCCUUCAGGUAAAAUGCUUCUCGUCCAUUCAAUAAUUUUGUCAUACCCGGCCUCACUCAACCCGUGAGCUGACUUGAUGGUGAACACCUGUGCUACGGCCGAUAAUUUACUGUGGUUCGUGCAGCCAUCCCAUAAUGGUUCGUCAGAAUCUUUCAACAAAUCAAAAAACCUAGCUGCAUCUGCAUUAGGUUCUUUUUCUAUGAUUGGACAUUGACUGACAUAACCUUGAUUCAUUCUCGUUGCAUCCAUAACCAUAUUCCUAUAAGGAUUAGUGUUGUCAUUUGCAACUUCAUACACGUUGCUAGCACUAGAAGUUGACCGAACCACCAUUUCUCCCAUGCUCUUAUUACGAACAAAUACUUCUUCGUGUGCAUACCAACACCGAUAAUUCUCCAUAAACCAUUUGGGCAGAAGAUGCAUCAUUACAACAUCUAGAUGCAGAUACUUUUUAUUUUGACACUUCCUGCAUGGACACCUAAUACCGCCUCCAGUAAAAUUUAUAGGAAUAGAUGUUGCGAAAUUAAUAAAACCCUGAACCCCGUUACAAUAAUUCAUCCUUCACAAUCCUUGGGGUGAAUCUCGAUACAUCCAUGAACGAUCAUCCAUGACUUCUAUCGAACCUCUAUAAAAUUAUGAUGACAACAUGUAUUAAUUAACUAUAUUAGGUAAAUAAAUUUAUAAAACUAUUGGUUUACCUCGAGAUUAUCCAACAAAAAAAUUACAACUUCUCUCAAACAAAUUACAACUUCUCAUAAAUAUUAAAUAUUCAUUAUCAAUUAUCAACGUCCAUACAAAUUUAUACAUAUAAAUUUAUGAAAAUUACAACUCCGCAAUAACAUUGAUAAAAAUUAAAAUGGACCAGUUAAACAAGCUAUUAAUUAUUUCAAAACAACACAUGUAAUUCAGUAAUUCAAUAAAUUUUCAACAAUUUACAAACAAAUACAAUUUUACAAAAUCUAAAACAAACCAUAACAAGUACAAAAUUAUACAUUCAUAUACUACAAGUUUGUUUGAGAAAUAACAAUAAAACAAAAUACAUAUACUAACAAAACAAUAAAAUUAACAUUUAAAUGUUAAAAUUUUAAAAGAUAGAAUUACUUACAAAAACUGAUAAAAUCCGUUUGUGACGUCACUGUACGGAGAUCCCGGUUUGAAUCUCUUGGUGAUUUCAUCGGCAAUUCUGGUGGUGAAUUGGUAAUGUUACUGUACGGAGCUCCCGGUUUGAAUCCCUCGGUGAUUCUAUCGGUAAAAUCGCCUGCAAAAACUUCCACGUCAGUGAACCGCCCUUUUUUUUAAUUCUGAAUAUUCCGUCUGCAAUUCCGUCGGCAUAUACCGAUCAAAGUAUUCCAUCGGUAUAUUGCCGACUGAAUUACAGAAGAAAAAUAUGCCGUCGGUAAUUAUGACUGCAAAUUACUGACAGAAUCAUUUCUUCGGUAAUGCCGUUGGUAUUAAGCGAAUUUCUGGUAAUGAAUAAUAAAAGGGAAACUAGACCAACUAAAGAUUUCCCAUAGUAAAAUAGAAGCCAACAUUUGAGCAAUUGCAUAUUAAUAUUCCUUUUGUGAAGCUUUAGAGAAAAUUCCUAAAUAUUAUGCUAAUGAAAGUUGGAAGUUGGAAGAGUACGAGACAAUUAAUGAUGCUAAUUGAAGAGAGUAGUUUAAUUUUACAACAAAAAUAUUUACCUCUUAAAUUGAAAGAUAAAGAGAGUGUACAAUUGGAAAUUCUUAUUUUGAAAAAUCUUUAUGUGAUUUAGGUGUAGAUGUGAACUUAAUGCCUUUUUUAUUAUAAAGAUAAUUCUAUCGUUUUGAAAAAAUAAAAAAACAUGAAAAAGUCUUCUUUUGCAAGUUUAAUAAUCUUUUUGCUUUCACAUCAUUUUAUCGUGCAAGAAAUUUUGGAAAGAUAAAAAAACCCUAAAAAAAUGAUUUUACUCCAAAGUAAGCUUUGUUUGUUUUUUAUAAGAAAGAUAAAAAUAAUAAAAAUACUGUUUUCUUUGAUGCCUCUUAGACUUUUUUUUUUAAUAUAUAUAUUUUGGGGCAAAAAUCAACUGUCAAAAACGUAAAGCUGGAGGAAAAAAGAUCUAGAUGAUAAAGAAUUCGCACAAGCGGGUCUCGUUUGUAUUCCCUUUUCCUUUCAGUUCUUUUUUUACCCCUUCGAUCCACAAUUUCAUUUGUACUUCACGACAAGACUUCUCUCACAAGAAAAAUCUGAGAUUGGAUCUCCGGCAUUGAUAGCCACUUAGUCAAAUAUUUGUUAGGUCUUAUGCAAGCAAUGACGACCUUAAAAGAACCUAGACAUGCAUGCAUGGGAAAGUAUUCAGUUAUAAAUAUGGAAAGCGAAUACGAAGUUGUGUGAUAAUAAUGGCAGAAGAAGUGGUAUUACUGGGUUUUUGGGCUAGUCCUUUUGCAAUGAGGGUGAAAAUUGCUCUGGCAGAAAAGGAAAUAGAUUAUGUGUCCCGAGAACAGAAUUUGUUCAACAAGAGUUCUUUGCUUCUAGAGAUGAACCCUGUUUACAAGAAAGUCCCUGUUUUGAUCCAUGAAGGAAAGCCGAUUUGUGAAUCACUCAUCAUAAUUGAAUAUAUCGAUGAAGUUUGGAAACACAAAGCUCCUUUAUUCCCCUCCGAUCCCUGUGAGAGGGCUCAUGCUAGGUUCUGGGCUGACUAUGUGGAUAAACAUGUGAGCCAUCCUUUUCUUUUCCUCUAGCUAGUUAUUUUGUUCUCCUUUAUUCAAUAUAUCGAUUUUUUUUUUUGAAACCUUGUUUUUUCGGAAAAUUUCCUCUUCUCUCAUUGGAGAACAUACUAGACAUUAGGCAUAUGUAAUGGAGGAUGCUCUUCCUCCCUCUAACUUCUCAUAUAUUGAUUCCAAGAUGCGAAGUUUUGAGACUUUCAAAUUGGUAGCCAUGAUUCUUAAGCAACUAAUCACGUCAAAGCUCAACACUUCUUCACCUUUAUAAAAACUGUCUGAUGAUAAAAAUGAACGGGCAUUUGCAGAUUUUCCCAAACGCGCAGUUGUUAUGCGCAAGAAAAGGUGAACGCCAAGAAGCAGCGAAGAAGAGUCUCGUAGAAAGCUUCAAAGCAUUGGAAGGAGAGCUUGGAGACAAGCCCUACUUUGGGGGUGAGAGUUUUGGUCUAAUAGACAUUGCGCUUAUUCCCUUCUUCAGCUUUUUCUACGCAUUUGAGACCCUCGGAAGAUUUUCCAUGGAAGAGGAGUGCCCCGAGAUCGUGGCAUGGGCUAAGAGAUGCUCGCAAAGGGAGACUGUUUCAAAGUCAGUAGUGCUCGACCAGCACAAAGCUUAUGAAUUUGUUUUGGAGCUCAUGGCAUGGCAUGGGGUUAAGUGAGAGAGAUAAUCCGAACAAUGAAUUAUACAAAGAGAUAGUGAUUCUAUUGAAUAAAGCCUCUUUUUUUUUUUUCUAUUUUCUGGGAGGGCUGAUCUUUCUCUUUUAAAACUAUUAUAAACAUAUAUUAAUUUAUAUAUGAUUCUACCAUCAAAAUUGAAUCGAAGGUUGGCAUAAAAUGGGCCAGUGUGUGUUUGUCCAUAACGUCAUUAAAUUGUUCAUAGCCUAAUAAAUAUGGUCAUCGAAUAUAACUAGAGAAUUGAGGGGUUGUCGGUUUCAAUUGAUUUUUAAUAGGGUCUAACUACAUAAAAUUAAUUAGUUUUGUUCCCAUUAAAGAUGUUUAAGUUUAAAUUGGAACAAUAGAGACUAAAUUGAAAUUUAUUAAAAUUUCCAAUUAGAAAACCCUAAUUUUAGGGUUUAAGUAAAUGACAUGUCACUUGUUUUUAAUGAAUAAACCAAGUGACACAUCGUCUAUCCCUAUUUUAUUAUCUUUUGUAGCCGAGAAAACUGAUUGAGUCCCCACCUUCAAGUGAAUAAACGUGGAUCUCCAACCACGCUAGAGGCUCCGACUACUAAAACUCGACUGAAAAACAUCUCAUCUACAAGGAUCAACUAUCCUCAUCACAUGUUUAAACCUCAUUUGACUCAUUGAACUCCACAACAUCUUGUCCAUGAUCAGCCUCCCUUGUAUUUGACAAUUUCAAGCUGAUUGAGGACUCAUCUUCCUAUCAAUGAAUGUGGAGUUCUAGAACUCCAAAUUAGAUGAGAUUUGAUCCCCAUGAUAGAUAUACAUGCCCUAUACAAGGUAUAUGGUUUGUUUGACUUCAAUAAUCUUCUAUUUGCCAUGAUUAAUUCAUGGAUGGUGCACCCCUUAUCGGUAAUUUUUUGUCAGGUUUUCGUUAUGAGGUUCCCAACCUUUUCUAAAAGAUCUAAGAGUUUGUUAGACAUCUUGGGGAGGGAAAACAAAAGAAGAAGAGAGAAGAAUGGCUUCCUAACAUAUCUAAGGAAUGAAUCCCUUAUGAUUUAGUUUUGGAAAACCACCUUCAAACCUAUUAGUGGUUUCACAACCACCUACUAUUUUAGGGCUAUAAAAGGAGAUGAAAUCAUACAGAAAAAGAGGUAGGAAUAUGACAGAAAAUCAUAGAGAAAAAAAAUAAAUACAUAGAAAUUAAGAGGAUACCUAGAAUAUAAUUGAAAGGAAAGUUAUAAAGAUUGAUUUGUUGAGAAAGAAAAGGUGGAAUCUAAAUCGAAAAAAAGUUGAAAUUCAAGAAGAAAAAAUCAAAGAAUUCAGAGGAGAAAACCACAUUCUCUUUACAAGGUAAACUUUCAAACUCUGUUGAGGGGGUGGAGCUCAUUGAACAGACCCCUUCCCCCUUCUGUUUUGCCUUUUUAAAUUGCUGCUCAUCAAAAUGAUUGUUAAGCAUCCUUUGAAGUCAUUUGCUAGUUUUAAAAACUAUUAAAUAUUUGUUUUGAGAUGUUUAAGCAUGCUUUAAAAAUAGUUUGUAUUAUUCAAGUUUUGUUGGAUUGCUUUGUUUAAUAUGUUAGAAUGUGAUUAUGGUAUGGUAUAUGAUAAUGUAUCAUGUUGUUUUACAUAUUUGAAUGUUUUGUUAAGCAUUUGUAAAACUAUGACAAGUUAUGUUAAGUUUUGAUGUUGUUGUGGAUUAGGUUGUUUUAUGAUAGCUUGCUAGGUUUGUUGAAGUUGUAGGCAUUUUAUUUAAAUUUCAAUAUAAUAAUUUUAAUCAAUAGAACAGUGUUUAUGCAUAGAAAAUGUUAUUUUUUCUUACUGUCAUUAUGUAUUUUACUUAUUGUUUUAUUCUUGAUUCAUUGUUUCUUAUUGUUUUAAUGGUUCAAGCAAAUUGUGUUGAGCGUGUUUAAGCUUUGGUUGUUGUUUUUGGGUUUUACGAAUUUUUUGGUUUUAAAGCCUCUAUCGAGCAUUUUUGGGCUCUUAUGCUUUAUGGGUUUCACAUUUGUCAAUUGAAGAUGGUCUUAGGUCCAUGUUUUGCAUAUCUUUUUGAUCAAUUGUUGGCUCUUGCUUAUGUAUUUUAUCUUGUUGAUCAUUAAUUUAGGACCUUAUGGGUUUAAAAACACUUAAAUCAUGAAAUUUGAUCUUCACUUUUUCAUUUUAUAUUUUGCAUAAAAUCAAAUAAUAUUCAUGACUUUAGGCUGUUUGUUGUGAUAAUCAAGCCCCAAAAUGUUGCUAUACUUUUGAUUGUACAUGUUUAUGUGUCUUCGAUUUGAUGUAAUAUGACUGAUAUUGAAUCUUAGUUUUUGGGUUUGAUCCGAGUGUUCAUCAUGUUCUUGUGUAAAUUUAAAUGUUUUCUCCUCUUUUGAUCUUCGUUAUUUAUUUUUUGGUUUUGGGUCAUGUUUAUGGUUUUGGGCCUUUGGGCCAAGAAGCCCAACCCACGUUGUUGUGCCGAGUCCAUUUAUGCUAAGGUAACAUUCAGUUGACUUAAAAUUCUUAAAAGAAAAAAACAUCAUAUUUUAUUUUUAUGGUGUGUUAGCCAAACACGAUCUUAAAACAAUUUUUAAUGUUGACUUUAGAACGACUAGGAUUUUAACCUGAUAAGUUAAGGAUUUUCUUACCAAUGAAGACUUUUCUUAAACCUUAGACAGAUUAACAGUUAGAAAACAUAACAGUAUAGUAGUUUAUAUCAGACAAAAAAAUAAUGCAACUUAUUAUAGGUAGGGUGCAGUGGGUGUAAUGAGUUUUCUCUUUGCACAACUAGUUCGCUUACCCGGACUCUCGUGAACCAUUAGAUUUUCUAAUGAUUAUAAUACUAAGUGGUGAUUACUAAACCUUUCAAAUCAUAUUUUUUUUUAAUUUUUCAAACACAACCAAAACCUUUAUUAAUUCAGGAACCAUACCCAUUGUCCCAUACCGUGCACAACAAGAAGGGAGGAACAAUUGUUUUUUGCUAAUGCAUUAUGUUGUUUUUUGCCAUUUUUUGCCGGUCUUUUCUGUCAUGUUGGGGUGAUUCUUUUGAAUCUGUAAUUGGAUUGCUCAUUCUGACAAUUAAUAAGUUUCCCUGCUUAGAAGAUCCGAGUUUAAUAUCCAAGAACCCUUUAUUAUUAUCAGGCUGAACUAACCAACCGAAUAUUGUCCCAGAACAAGUUAAGAAAACAUAAAAUGCCACAAUAAAAUGGACUUGGAUAUACUCUCCAUUUGCAGUAUUAUAUAUUUAUUCAAUCCCCAGCUUCUGUUUGAUGAUCUGCAAAACGACUUCAUAAACCUCCUUUUGGUCACUUAAAUACUUGGAGACGCUCUCCUUUUGCAAGCAUCUCUCACCCCACUCCACGAGCUUAGGGAACUCGGCAACCAUGCUCCAGUUUCCUAGGGUCUCAAAUGUGUAAAAGAAGCUGUGGAAUGAAAUAAGUGCCAAGUCUAUAUAGCCAAAGCUCUCAUCCCCAAAAUAUAGCUAGUCUCCGAGUUCUUCUUCCAAGAUUUUAAAGCACUGAAUCAAGUCCUUCUUUGAUGAUUCCUUGAGCUCACCUUCAGAUGCCCAUAAAUUCCUUCCAGUAGGAUACAUCUGGACGAAACCAGUUUGCAUGUCAUUGCUUCAUUAAUGUUUCCUUUCAAAAAGUAAACACAGUAAGAUAGAGAAAGAAAUUUCAUCAGUUCUAACAAAAUUAGGUUUCCUCGAUAUAUCAUAAGUCAAAGCUCCGGAGGACCAAAACUGUGCCAACUCAUCAAUCAAUGGUCAAAGACAAACAUCUAUAUUCUGGCCCGGGCUGCUCGGACCGGGUAAGACAGUAGAUAAAAACAUAGACUAAGGCCUCACACACAUUUCUAGUGGCAAGUUAUAAACCGUGAGUAUGACCGACCAACAAGAAUAAAGAGCAGCAAAUGACCUGAAAGGGUUGAAUCCGUCUGUACAUAACCCAAGACGCACGUUCCUUGAUUCAACUGAAAAGUGAGGAUGCACACUGUUAAAGUGUUUCCUCGCUUCUCCGUCAGAAGGAUGCACCAUCACUCCAUCAACCACAUCAUGUGAUUGGUGUCAUGUCAUGUGCUCAACAGUCCUUGGUGACAUGAAUAACCUCUACAGUCUAGGUGUGAUUGAGAAGUAUCUAAGUUUUUUAUAUGCCACUAGAGUCUUUCCCGUGCCAAUUCUGGGUUUGUAACGGGAAUGCCCACAUGUCAUGCACUCGGUCAGCUCAACAUUUUCAAGGUAGUAUAACAUGCAGAAGUUAGGGCACAUGUCAAUUUUCUAGUAUCCUAAACCGAGGGGUUUCAUCAUGGACUUUGCAGUAUAGAAGUUCUCUUUCAGCCUGAUCCCUUCAGGUAAAAUGCUUCUCGCUCAUUCAAUAAUUUUGUCAUACCCGACUCACUCAACCCGUGAGCUGACUUGAUGGUGAACACCUGUGCUACGACCGAUAAUUUACUGUGGUUUGUGUAGUCAUCCCAUAAUGGUUCGUCAGAAUCUUUCAACAAAUCAAAAAACCUAGCUGCAUCUGCAUUAGGUUCUUCUUCUAUGAUUGGACAUGGACUGACAUUACCUUGAUUCAUUCUCAUUGUAUCCAUAACCAUAUUCCUGUAAGGAUUAGUGUUGUCAUUUGCAACUUCAUGCACGUUGCUAGCACUAGAAGUUAACCCAACCACCAUUUCUCUCAUGCUCUUAUUACGAACAAAUACUUCUUCAUGUGCAUACCAACACCGGUAAUUCUCUAUAAACCCUUUGGGUAGAAGAUGCAUCAUUACAACAUCUGGAUGCAAAUACGUUUUAUUUUGACACUUCCUACAUGGACACCUAAUACCGCCUCCAGUAAAAUUUCUGGGAAUAGAUGUUGCGAAAUUAAUAAAACCCUGAACCCCGUUACAAUAAUCCAUCAUCCGCAAUUCUUGGGGUGAAUCUAGAUACAUCCAUGAACGAUCAUCCAUGACUUCUAUCGAACCUCUAUAAAAUUAUGAUGACAACAUGUAUUAAUUAACUAUAUUAGGUAAAUAAAUUUACAAAAAUAUUGGUUUACCUCGAGAUUAUCCAACAAACUAAUUACAACUUCUCAUAAAUAUUAAAUAUUUAUUAUCAAUUAUCAACGUGCAUACAAAUUUAUACAUAUAAAUUUACGAAAAUUAAAACGGACCAGUUAAACAAGCUAUUAAUUAUUUGAAAACAAUACAUGUAAUUCGGUAAUUCAAUAAAGUUUCAACAAUUUACAAACAAAUACAAUUUUACAAAAUCUAAAACAAACCAUAACAAGUACAAAAUUAUACAUUCAUAUACUACAAGUUUGUUUGAGAAAUAACAAUAAAACAUGUACAUAUACUAACAGAAUACAUAUACUAAAAAAAUAAUAAAAUUGACAUUUAAAUGUUAAAAUUUUAAAAGAUAGAAUUACUUACAAAAACUGAUAAAAUCCGUCAGUAACGUCACUGUACGGAGAUCCCAGUUUGAAUCCCUUAGUGAUUUAGUCGGCAAUUCUGACGGUGAAUCGGUCACAUCACUGUACGGAGCUCCUGGUUUGAAUCCCUCUGUGAUUCUAUCGGUAAAAUCACCCGCAAAAACUUCCACGUCAGCGAACCGUCCUUUUUUUUUAAUUUUGAAUAUUCCGUCUGUAAUUCCUUCGGCAUAUACCGACCGAAGUAUUCCAUCGGUAUAUACCGACUGAAUUACAGACGAAAAAUAUGUCGUCGGUAAUUAUGACCGCAAAUUACCAACAUAAUUAUUCCGUUGGUAUUAAGCGAAUUUCUGGUAAUGAAUAAUAAAAGGGAAACUAGACCACCUAAAGAUUUCCCAUAGUAAAAUAGAAGCCAACAUUUGAGCAAUUGCAUAUUAAUAUUCCUGUUGUGAAGCUUUAGAGAAAAUUCCUAACUAUGCUAAUGAAAGUUGGAAGUUGGAAAGAGUACGAGACAAUUAAUGAUGCUAAUUGAAGAGAGUAGUUUUACAACAAAAAUAUUUACCUCUUAAAUUGAAAGAUAAAGAGAGAGUAGUUUUACUAUUGUACAAUUGGAAAUUUUUAUUUUGAAAAAUCUUUAUGUGAUUUAGGUGUAGAUGUGAACUUAAUGCCUUUUUUUAUUAUAAAGAUAAUUCUAUCGUUUUGGUGAGAAAAAAAUAAAAAAAACAUGAAAAAGUCUUCUUUUGCAAGUUUAAUAAAAAAACAUCAUUUUAUCGUGCAAGAAAUUUUGGAAAGAUAAAAAACCCUAAAAAAAUGAUUUUACUCCAAAGUAAGCUUUGUUUGUUUUUUAUAAGAAAGAUAAAAUAAUAAAAAUACUGUUUCAAUCCAUAAAAAUAAUAAAAAUACUGUUUUCUUUGAUGGCUCUUAGACUUUUUUUUUAAUAUAUAUAUUUUGGGGCAAAAAUCAACUGUCAUAAACGUAAAGCUGGAGGAAAAAAGAUCUAGAUGAUAAAGAAUUCGCAUAAGCGGGUCUCGUUUGUAUUCCCUUUUCCUUUCUGCUCUUUUUUUACCCCUUCGAUCCACAAUUUCAUUUGUACUUCACGACAAGACUUCUCUCACAAGAAAAAUCUGAGAUUGGAUCUCCGGCAUUGAUAGCCACUUAGUCAAAUAUUUGUUAGGUCUUAUGCAAGCAAUGACGACCUUAAAAGAACCUAGACAUGCAUGCAUGGGAAAGUAUUCAGUUAUAAAUAUGGAAAGCGAAUACGAAGUUGUGUGAUAGUAAUGGCAGAAGAAGUGGUAUUACUGGGUUUCUGGGCUAGUCCUUUUGCAAUGAGGGUGAAAGUUGCUCUGGCAGAGAAGGAAAUAGAUUAUGUGUCCCGAGAACAGAAUUUGUUCAACAAGAGUUCUUUGCUUCUAGAGAUGAACCCUGUUUACAAGAAAGUCCCUGUUUUGAUCCAUGAAGGAAAGCCGAUUUGUGAAUCACUCAUCAUAAUUGAAUAUAUCGAUGAAGUUUGGAAACACAAAGCUCCUUUAUUCCCCUCCGAUCCCUGUGAGAGGGCUCAUGCUAGGUUCUGGGCUGACUAUGUGGAUAAACAUGUGAGCCAUCCUUUUCUUUUCCUCUAGCUAGUUAAUUUGUUCUCCUUUAUUCAAUAUAUCGAUUUUGUUUUUGAAACCUUGUUUUUUCGGAAAAUUUCCUCUUCUCUCAUUGGAUAACAUACUAGACAUUAGGCAUAUGUAAUGGAGGAUGCUCUUCCUCCCUCUAACUUCUCAUAUAUUGAUUCCAAGAUGCGAAGUUUUGAGACUUUCAAAUUUGUAGCCAUGAUUCUUAAGCAACUAAUCACGUCAAAGCUCAAUGCUUCUUCACCUUUAUAAAAACUGUCUGAUGAUAAAAAUGAACGGGCAUUUGCAGAUUUUCCCAAACGCGCGGUUGUUAUGGGCAGCAAAAGGUGAACGCCAAGAAGCAGCGAAGAAGAGUCUCAUAGAAAGCUUCAAAGCAUUGGAAGGAGAGCUUGGAGACAAGCCCUACUUUGGGGGUGAGAGUUUUGGUCUAAGAGACAUUGCGCUUAUUCCCUUCUUCAGCUUUUUCUACGCAUUUGAGACCCUCGGAAGAUUUUCCAUGGAAGAGGAGUGCCCCGAGAUCGUGGCAUGGGCUAAGAGAUGCUCGCAAAGGGAGACUGUUUCAAAGUCAGUAGUGCUCGACCAGCACAAAGCUUAUGAAUUUGUUUUGGAGCUCAUGGCGUGGCAUGGGGUUAAGUGAGAGAGAUAAUCCGAACAAUGAAUUAUACAAAGAGAUAGCGAUUCUAUUGAAUAAAGCCGUUUUUUUUAUAUAUAUAGAAAUUUCUGGGAGGGCUGAUCUUUCUCUUUUAAAAGUAUUAUAAACAUAUUUUAAUUUAUAUAUGAUUCUACCAUCAAAAUUGAAUCGAAGCUUGGCAUAAAAUGGGAGACAGUGUGUGUUUGUCCAUAACGUCAUUAAAUUGUUCACAGCCUAAUAAAUAUGGUCAUCGAGUAUAACUAGGGAAUUGAAUUUGCCCUUGAACAAAUAAAUAAUUUUGGACCUUCAAAAUAGAGCAGUGGAUAUUAUACAUAUAUUAAUAGAAAAAGGUGUUUUUAUGUAGAAAUAGAAUAAUGGUAAAUUUUGCUAAUUUUAUACUGUGUUUAUUAGCGGUGAUAAAAUUGUAAUUUUUUAUUUUUUUUAUAUAAGAAAACAAGUUUUUUUUUAUGUAUUUCUUUCUCUUUAUACUUGUUAUUUUUAUUAUUUUACACUUGACUUAUUUAUCUUCAUUUCUUUUUCUUAUCUUCAUUUUUUAAAAUAUUUUUAGUGUUUCCUUUUUUUCUUUACACUUUUGUUUUUGAAAAAAACAUUAAUGUAGAAAUGGCAAAUUUAUAAUUUUUUAUUUUUUUAGAAAACAAGUUUUUCUUAAAUUUUAUCUUUGUAUACUUGAAUUUUUAUCAUUUUACACUUGACAUAUUCAUUAUCAUUUUUUUUCUUAUCUUUUUUUUUUUGUAAUAUCUUUUUUCGUCAUCCUCUUCACAAAAAGAUAAUACUAAUGGGUAAUAAUUACACCAUGAAACCUUCAAAUCAAAGGUUCACAAUAUUCAUUCUCUACUGCACAUAUAUUUUCAAAGCAUCUCUCUCUAAAAAGAUACUUAUUUAAGCAUCGAAGAGUCAUCACCUCCAUAAAAAAAGACCUUUUGCAGGUACUAGCCAUAAGCCACCUUGGCCUACCAAGUACCAAGUAUAAGCUAUCAACUACCUUGACCAGGAAGAAUGAAUGGGAUUGGUAGGAUCAAUUGAUUAACCGAUUAUCCAAUCCAAGAGCUUUAUUCCUAGGCUACUUGGAUUUUUUGGAACUUUAUCACUUGCAAAAGGACAAUGACGUCUUUGCUCUUAUCUAAGAAAAUCAAAUGCCUUGAUGUUAAGGAUAAUAUGAUCUUUUUACAUGACCCAUUAAUCAUUAAAGAAUUGACCGGGAGUGUAUAUCUUUUGUAAUUCCUUAAGCAUAGUAAAACGACCAAAAUGCUCUUAAAAGAAAAAAAAAUUACCCUCAAUGGUUUUUUUUGUCUUUUCACAAUGAUUCUUUUUUUGUAUUUAUAAGGUAAGUUGAGAGGUAAUUUAGUAAAACAACCAAAAUGCUCUUAAAAAAUAAAAAAAAUAAAAUGCAUGGUGAGACGGUAAAAUACCCCUGUAAUCCAACAAAUUAAAAUUGGCAUCAAUAGACUUUUUUUGUAUUUUCACAAUAUCUUAGAGGACUAUACUUAAUUUUUACAAGCUUAAUUGAAUGAAAUCAGAGGCGAAAUUGCAAGAAAAUCAAAGUUUAAAGGCCAAUUAAGGGUCAAGUGAAGAAAUUCAAGAUCAAGGACCUGCCUACAAAAGGCGCACAACAUUGAGGGCUAUACUUGAGGGCUAUACUAAACUCUUCCAGGGAUUAUAUUGACGACAAUCAAAUUUUAAGGCUUGAUUGGGGAUUAAAUAGAACAAAUUAAAAAACAAGGAUUACUUUGAAAAAGGUGCCAGACUUGAGGGGUUUCAUUUGAUUUUUAACAAGGGUCUAAUUGCAUAAAAUUAAUGAGUUUUGUCCCAAUUAAGGAUGUUUAAGCUUAAAUUGAAACAAUUGAGACUAAAUUAAAAUUUAUCAAAUUCCCAAUUAGAAAACCCUAAUUUUUAAGGUUUAAAUUGAUGACAUGUCACUUGUUUUUAAUUAAUAAACUGAGUGACACAUCGGCUAACCCUAUUUUAUUGUCAAUUUCAGCCGAGAAGGCUGAUCGAGUUGCUACCUUCAACUUAAUAAACGUGGAUCUCCGACCACGUUAGAGGCUCCAACCACUACAACUCAACUGAGAAACAUCUUUUUUAUAAGGAUCAGUUAUCCUCAUCACAUGUUUAUACCUCAUUUGACUUAUUGAAUCUCUUAUGAUCUAGUUUUUGAAAACCACCUUCAAAUCUAUAAGUGGUUUCACAACCACCUACCAUUUUAGGGCUAUAAAUGGAGAAGAAAUCAUACAGAAAAAAGGGUAGGAAUCCGACAGAAAAUCAUGGAGAAAAAAGAAAAUAAAUACAUAAAAAUUAAGAGGAUACCUAGAAUAUAAUUGAAAGGAAAGUUAUAAAGAUUGAUUUGUUGAGAAAGAAAAGGUGGAAUCUAAAUCGAAAAAAAUUUGAAAUUCAAGAAGAAAGAAUCAAAGAAUUCAGAGGAGGAAACCACAUUCUCUUUACAAGGUAUACUUUCAAACUCUAAUGAGGGGGUGGAGCUCAAUGAGCACACCCCUUACCCCUUCUGUUUUGCCUUUUUAAAUUGCUGCUCAAAAUGAUUUUUAAGCAUCCUUUGAAGUCAUUUGCUAGUUUUAAAAACUUUUAAAUAUUUUUUUUGAGAUGUUUAAGCAUGCUUUAAAAAUAGCUUGUAUUGUUCACGUUUUGUUGGAUUGCCUUGUUUAAUAUGUUAGAAUGUGAUUAUGGUAUGGUAUAUGAUAAUGUAUCAUGUUGUUUUGUAUACUUGAAUGUUUGGUUAAUCAUUUGUAAAACUAUGACAAAUUAUGUUAAGUUUUGAUAUUGUUGUGGAUUAGGUUGUUUUAUGAUAGCUUGCUGGGUUUGUUAAAGUUGUAGACAUUUUGUUUAAGCUUCAAGAUAAUAAGUUUAAUCAAUUGAACAAUGAUUAUGCAUGUAGAAUGCUAUUUUUGCUUGCUGUCAUUAUGUAUUUUGCUUACUGUUUUGCUCUUGAUUCGUUGUUUCUUGUUGUUUUGAUGGUUCCAACAAAUUGUGUUGAGCGUGUUUAAGAUUUGGUUGUUGUUUUUGGGUUUUAGGCAUUUUUUGGUUUUAAAGCCUCUACCGAGCAUUUUUGGGUUCUUAUGCUUUAUGGGUUUCACAUUUGUAUGUUGAAGAUGGUCUUGGGUCCAUGUUUUGCAUAUCUUUUUGAUCAAUUGUUGGCUCUUGCACAUGUAUUUUAUCUUGUUGAUAAUUAAUUUAGGACCUUAUAGGUUUAAAAACACUUAAAUCAUGACAUUUGAUCUUCAGUUUGUUCAUUUUAUAUUUUGCAUAAAAUCAAAUAAUCAUGACUUUAGGCUGUUUAUUGUGAUAAUCCAACCCCAAAAUCUUGCUAUACUUUUGAUUGUACAUGUUUAUGUGUCUUCAAUUUGAUGUAAUAUGACUGAUAUUGAAUCUUAGUUUUUGGGUUUGAUCCGAGUGUUCAUCAUGUUCUUGUGUAAAUUUAAAUGUUUUCUCCUCUUUUGAUCUUCGUUAUUUCUUUUCUGGUUUUGGGUCAUGUUUGUGGGUUUGGGACUUUGGGUCAGGAAUCCCAGCUCACGUGGCUGUGCUGAGUCCAUUUAUGCUAGGGCAACGUUCAGUUGACUUAAAAUUCUUAAAGAAAAGAACAUCAUAUUUUAUUCUUAUGGUGUGUUAGCCAAACACGAUCUUAAAACAAUUUUUAAGUCUCUGAUUUUUAGCUCUAUUGAUUUUCCAGUAUUCUUUCUGUUCUCAUUUUUUAUGCUUUUGCCAAACAGAUCUCAAAUAAUUUCUAGAAAUUCUGAAAACUUUCAAGGACCAUUUUAAAAUUAUUUGUGGAUCCCUUGCCUAUUUCCCAACCAUUUUAUUUAAUAUUUAGGUUGUAAACUUGUAUUGUAAAAUACUAACCUGAUGUUAAACACACUUGUUUUUCUUUGAAAUUUCAGAAAACAAAUACGAAAAAAUAAAAAAAGUUCCUAUUUUGAAAAUAUACACUUUUAUUUGUGUGCAAAUGGUCAAGUUUCUAAAAAAUAAAUUAUAUUUGCAUAAUUUAGCAUACUAAAAAUUUCAAAAAUAGUCCUUUUAUUUUGCAUGCAUUUUGGAAUUAAUAACUAGUUUAUUAAAAUCAUUAGAAUUUUUCCUACAUUGUAAAAAAACCAAUUUUUUAAUAUACGAGAUUAUAAACUUAUAGGUAACAUGUAUUUCCGAUAUUGAAUAAAAAGACAAUUUUUUUUUAUCUUUUUUAUGUUUUGACUUUAAAACGGCUAGGAUUUUAACCUGAUAUGAUAAGGAUUUCCUUACCAAGAAAGACUUUUCUUAAACUUUAGACAGAUUAACAGUUAGAAAACACAACAAUAUCAUAGUUUAUAUAAAAAAAAACAAUAAUGCAGCUUAUUAUACAUAGGGUGCACUAGGAGUGAUGAGUUUUCUCCUUGCGCAUCUAGUCCGCUUGCCCGGAUUCUCGUAAACCAUUAGAUUUUCUAAUAACUAUAAUACUAGGUAGCGACUUCUGAACCUUUCAAAUCAUAUUUUUUUGAUUUUUCAAACAUAUCCAAAAUCCCUAUCAAUUCAGGAACUAUACCCGUCGUCCGUUGCCGUGCACAAGAAGACCGGGAGGAACAAUUGUUUUUUUGCUAAUGCAUUAUGUUGUUUUUUGCCAGUCCUUUCUGUCAUGUUGGGGUUAUUUUUUUGUAUCUGCAAUUAGAUUGCUCAUUCUGGCAAUUUUUAAUGUUUUGACUUUAGAACGGCUAAGAUUUUAACCUGAUAAGAUAAGGAUUUCCUUACCAAGAACGACUUUUCUUAAACCUUAAACAGAUUAACAGUUAGAAAACACAACAAUAUCAUAGUUUAUAUCAAACAAAAAAAUAAUGCAGCUUAUUAUAGAUAGAGUGCACUAGGAGUGAUGAGUUUUCACCUUGCGCAUCUAGUCCGCUUGCCCGGACUCUCGUAAACCAUUAGAUUUUCUAAUAACUAUAAUACUAGGUAGCGACUCCUGAACCUUUCAAAUCAUAUUUUUUUUAUUUUUCAAACAUAUCCAAAAUCCCUAACAAGUUAGGAACUAUACCCGUCGUCCGAUGCCGUGCACAAUAAGAUCGGGAGGAACAAUUGUUUUUUUGCUAAUGCAUUAUGUUGUUUUUUGCCAGUCCUUUCUGUCAUGUUGGGGUGAUUUUUUUGUAUCUGCAAUUGGAUUGCUCAUUCUGGCAAUUAAUAAGUUUCCCUGCUUAGAAGAUCAGAGUUUAAUAUCCAAGAACCCUUUAUUAUUAGCAGGCUGAACUAACCAACCGAAUACUCUUCCAGAACAAGUUAAGAAAACAUAAAAUGCCACAAUAGAAUGGACUUGGAUACACUCUCCAUUUGCAGUAUUAUAUAUUUAUUCAAUCCCCAGCUUCGGUUUGAAGAUCUGCAAAACGACUUCAUAAACCUCCGUUUGGUCACUUAAAGACUUGGAGACGCUCUCCUUUUGCAAGCAUCUCUCGCCCCACUCCACGAGCUUAGGGAACUCGGUGUUGGAAUAUUGCCAAUUAUGUGGCUGCCAUUGUCAAAGAAGAUGGCUGCCAUGUGAGAGUCAAAGAGGGCUGCUGAUGCAGCAUUUGCAGCCCCUUGACAUUGUCAAAGAAGGAGGCUACAAUGGUGGGUUGUUGGUGGCAGCCAACAACCAUUGUCCAAUGUCAAAGUUUGGUAAGUUUGGCAGCCACCAUUGUUGACAAAGGAGCAAGAGGAGCUGUCAUUGAAGCCUAUAAAUAGACACCAAGAGUGCAGCAUAAAGAGAGAGAGAGAGCAAGAACAAAAGAGAGAAGAAGAGAGAAAGAAAGAGAAGGGUUGCCACCAGCAGCCCUGCUGCCAUAUGCAGCUGCUGCCCUAUGUAGCAAUGAGAGAUGGGAGUUGAGUGGAUGUGAUCCUCCUCCGUGUGUUGUAUUCUUUCUCUAUCUCUAAUAAUAUUGAUCUCACCCGUGGAUGUAGGCGAUUAGCCGAACCACGUUAAAUAUUGUGUCAGUGUGCUUUACCUCCUAUGAGCAAAUAUCAGAACAUCACCGGUCGGAAUUCCCUAAAAUUGGUAUCAGAGCUUAUGGUUUAAAGUGGUGUUUGAUUUUUUGCUUAAAAAUGAAAGUUGUCAAAAUUAUGUUUUGACCAUACCAUUGUGUAGAAAAGGCAAGAGGACAAUUACCCACAUAAAUGGCAAAGGGGGUGAUUGUUGGAAUAUUGCCAAUUAUGUGGCUGCCAUUGUCAAAGAAGAUGGCUGCCAUGUG